UACGUAGGUGGCAAGCGUUGUCCGGAUUUAUUGGGCGUAAAGCGAGCGCAGGUGGUUUCUUAAGUCUGAUGUGAAAGCCCACGGCUCAACCGUGGAAGGUCAUUGGAAACUGGGGAACUUGAAUGCAGAAGAGGAGAGUGGAAUUCCCAGUGUAGCGGUGAAAUGCGUAGAUAUUGGGAGGAACACCAGUGGCGAAGGCGGCUCUCUGGCCUAACCCUGACGCUGAGGCGCGAAAGCGUGGGGAUCAAACAGGAUUAGAUACCCUGGUA
rnacentral:rRNA from 1 species